ACUGAAAAUUUUAAGCAUAAGAACAACAAAAACAGUCCCUCCCCCUUUUAUAAAUAGCACUGAUUGACUAGAAAUAGAUUUCCACCCUUGAAAUCUCUUAAAGACUCAGAAUGUUUUCGUAAACCACAAGAGCAGUACUUCUCCACAAGAGCAUUAUGACUGUGGUUUAUGAUGUCAUCUGGAUUUCUUGAUUGAUUCAUAAUAUAGUUAUCCAGCCAUCUCAAUUUAUUAGCUUAAGCAUUUUUUCUAGACUUAACUUACAUGUCUUGUCAAAUCAGUCUUCUCUUUAGUUCCCAAUAAUGCCAAAUUGCUUGAAUCCUGCAAAUUCCACAUAGUGAAAGGUCUCUCAGCUCCCUCAAGAUUUAUGUCUCCAACUUCCAUUGAGCAGAACUAUUCAAUCAAAAGAUUUACACUGUGUGAAAAUUAGUGACAACAUGUUUUGGUUGGGAGGGCAAAGCUACCAGAGAUGGCCAAGAUCUAUUGAUUGAACACUAGAACUCCUUCCAAAUUAUACCAAGCCCCACUUGGAGGGGAAUUUUGUGCCUGGAACUUAGGCAGUGAAAUGGGUUCUCCUGACAAAAGAUUUACCUAGAUGUAUGGAUGAUUUCCAAGUUAGCACAACUAAGGAAAUAAAGUAUUUCUAAGUGUCCCCUAGGAGCAAAAGCAUCCCUACUUGAGAAGGACUGGUGGAGACAAAGGGAAAAAGAAGAGGCUUUGUGUCAGAGAAGUGUUGUUUAGGAGAAUACAGCUGGUGGAAUUGGAAAAUAACUCAGGAAGUCAUGAAGGGAAGAUAUUGAAGUUGAGAAGAGACAAGAGGCAGAAAACUUGGAGCCAAACUACAAAAUUCAGAAGAGAGACGACUUUGAAAAGCAGGCAUAAGAACAAACAGACUGUCUAAUUGGAUCUCCUCAUCUUUUACAAAUAAAAUUCUAGAAAACAGCAAAAGAAAUAAAAUCUAACUUUGCUUAAAGUUAAUGUUUAUAACAGUAAUAUCAUCUCUUAGUUUAUAAUUUGGGGUAAAAAUAAUUCAGUCUAUUUUUUUGUUGGUGGUGAUACGUAUUUUAUUGUGAAAAUUUGCAAAAGAC
rnacentral:lncRNA from 1 species